rnacentral:rRNA from 1 species
AGGGCUUCUGACGGAUGCCUUGGCAUUGAGAGGCGAUGAAGGACGUGGCACGCUGCGAUAAGAGCCGGGGAGGCGCGAGCACCCUUUGAUCCGGCUAUCUCCGAAUGGGGAAACCCACCUUAACGGUCUUCCAACUUAGUCUUGCCUUCGGGCAGGAUCAGGCUUGGUGGAUCGGAAAAGGUAUAAUGGGCUGAAUACAUAGGCUCCAUUAAGCAAACCCGGGGAACUGAAACAUCUCAGUACCCGGAGGAAAGGACAUCAACCGAGACUCCCGUAGUAGUGGCGAGCGAACCGGGACCAGGCCAGUGCUGUCGUGACAUAAAGCUGAACGACUUGGAAAGGUCGGCCAUAGUGGGUGAUAGCCCCGUAAGCGUCAAAUAGCGACAGACUCGAGUAGGGCGGGACACGUGAAAUCCUGUCUGAACAUGGGGGGACCACCCUCCAAGCCUAAGUACUCCUCAAUGACCGAUAGCGAACAAGUACCGUGAGGGAAAGGUGAAAAGCACCCCGACAAGGGGAGUGAAACAGAUCCUGAAAUCGGAAGCCUACAAGCAGUCGGAGCCACCGCGCGUGGUGACGGCGUACCUUUUGUAUAAUGGGUCAGCGACUUCAUGUGCCGUGCAAGCUUAAGCCGUUAGGUGUAGGCGCAGCGAAAGCGAGUCUGAAUAGGGCGAAUAAGUACGUCGCAUGACGACCCGAAACCAGGUGAUCUAUCCAUGAGCAGGUUGAAGGUAAGGUAACACUUACUGGAGGACCGAACCGGUGAAUGUUGAAAAAUUCUCGGAUGACUUGUGGAUAGGGGUGAAAGGCCAAUCAAACCUGGACAUAGCUGGUUCUCCGCGAAAACUAUUUAGGUAGUGCCUCAGACGGACUCCUCGGGGGGUAGAGCACUGAAUGGAUGCGGGCGGAGCGAUCUGUACCAAUUCUAAUCAAACUCCGAAUACCCGAGAGAGAUAUCUGGGAGACACACGGCGGGUGCUAACGUCCGUCGUGAAAAGGGAAACAACCCUAACCAUCAUCUAAGGCCCCCAAGUUCUGGCUAAGUGGGAAACGAUGUGGGUUUGCUUUGACAACCAGGAUGUUGGCUUAGAAGCAGCCAUCAUUUAAAGAAAGCGUAACAGCUCACUGGUCAAGCGAACCUGCGCGGAAAAUGUAACGGGGCUCAAGCCAGACGCCGAAGGUAUGGGUUUGCUCUUUGAGCAAGCGGUAGCGGAGCGUUCCGUAAGCCGGUGAAGGUGAGGCGCGAGCCUUGCUGGAGGUAUCGGAAGUGAGAAUGCUGACAUGAGUAGCGAUAAAGAGUGUGAGAGACACUCUCGCCGAAAGCCCAAGGGUUCCUGCGUAAAGCUAAUCUGCGCAGGGUUAGUCGGCCCCUAAGGCGAGGCCGAAAGGCGUAGUCGAUGGGAAUCAGGUGAAUAUUCCUGAACCAGUUGGAAGUGACGGAUCUGGUAAAUUGUUCGGGCUUAUUGGAUUGCUCCGGGCAGUGAACAGGUCCCUGGAAAUAACUCCAACGGAGACCGUACCCGAAACCGACACAGGUGGGCAGGUAGAGUAUACCAAGGCGCUUGAGAGAAGUGUCCUGAAGGAACUCGGCAAAUUGCACGCGUAACUUCGGGAUAAGCGUGACUCUUCUUUGGGCAACCAGAAAAGAGUGGCACAGGCCAGGGGGUAGCGACUGUUUAUCAAAAACACAGGGCUCUGCGAAGCCGCAAGGCGACGUAUAGGGUCUGACGCCUGCCCGGUGCCGGAAGGUUAAAAGGAGUGGUGCAAGCUGCGAAUUGAAGCCCCGGUAAACGGCGGCCGUAACUAUAACGGUCCUAAGGUAGCGAAAUUCCUUGUCGGGUAAGUUCCGACCUGCACGAAUGGCGUAACGACUUCCCCA